GAUGAACGCUGGCGGCGUGCCUAAUACAUGCAAGUCGAGCGAACGGACGAGAAGCUUGCUUCUCUGAUGUUAGCGGCGGACGGGUAAGUAACACGUGGAUAACCUACCUAUAAGACUGGGAUAACUUCGGGAAACCGUAGCUAAUACCGGAUAAUAUUUUGAACCGCAUGGUUCAAAAGUGAAAGACGGUCUUGCUGUCACUUAUAGAUGGAUCCGCGCUGCAUUAGCUAGUUGGUAAGGUAACGGCUUACCAAGGCAACGAUGCAUAGCCGACCUGAGAGGGUGAUCGGCCACACUGGAACUGAGACACGGUCCAGACUCCUACGGGAGGCAGCAGUAGGGAAUCUUCCGCAAUGGGCGAAAGCCUGACGGAGCAACGCCGCGUGAGUGAUGAAGGUCUUCGGAUCGUAAAACUCUGUUAUUAGGGAAGAACAUAUGUGUAAGUAACUGUGCACAUCUUGACGGUACCUAAUCAGAAAGCCACGGCUAACUACGUGCCAGCAGCCGCGGUAAUACGUAGGUGGCAAGCGUUAUCCGGAAUUAUUGGGCGUAAAGCGCGCGUAGGCGGUUUUUUAGUCUGAUGUGAAAGCCCACGGCUCAACCGUGGAGGGUCAUUGGAAACUGGAAAACUUGAGUGCAGAAGAGGAAAGUGGAAUUCCAUGUGUAGCGGUGAAAUGCGCAGAGAUAUGGAGGAACACCAGUGGCGAAGGCGACUUUCUGGUCUGUAACUGACGCUGAUGUGCGAAAGCGUGGGGAUCAAACAGGAUUAGAUACCCUGGUAGUCCACGCCGUAAACGAUGAGUGCUAAGUGUUAGGGGGUUUCCGCCCCUUAGUGCUGCAGCUAACGCAUUAAGCACUCCGCCUGGGGAGUACGACCGCAAGGUUGAAACUCAAAGGAAUUGACGGGGACCCGCACAAGCGGUGGAGCAUGUGGCUUAAUUCGAAGCAACGCGAAGAACCUUACCAAAUCUUGACAUCCUUUGACAACUCUAGAGAUAGAGCCUUCCCCUUCGGGGGACAAAGUGACAGGUGGUGCAUGGUUGUCGUCAGCUCGUGUCGUGAGAUGUUGGGUUAAGUCUCGCAACGAGCGCAACCCUUAAGCUUAGUUGCCAUCAUUAAGUUGGGCACUCUAAGUUGACUGCCGGUGACAAACCGGAGGAAGGUGGGGAUGACGUCAAAUCAUCAUGCCCCUUAUGAUUUGGGCUACACACGUGCUACAAUGGACAAUACAAAGGGCAGCGAAACCGCGAGGUCAAGCAAAUCCCAUAAAGUUGUUCUCAGUUCGGAUUGUAGUCUGCAACUCGACUACAUGAAGCUGGAAUCGCUAGUAAUCGUAGAUCAGCAUGCUACGGUGAAUACGUUCCCGGGUCU
rnacentral:rRNA from 1 species